CGGAGACGUCGGCGCGGAAUUUCCAGCUGGAGGACGCGUCUGACGUCGGCGAAAGCCAGCCCUCCUCUUCCUCCAUCGGUCCCGAUCGGGUGGCGGCGAGUCGGCUGUGGCGGAGAUCGGGGUUCACGUAGCGCUCAGGUCUGCAAAGUUCAAAACAAGCUUCUCUGACCUUACUUACAAUCUACCCCAUGGGACCAACGAGAAGCUGAACGAUGCUUGGCUCGUAUACUAUGACUCUAUGUUGUGAUAUCGUAUCUUUAUGACAGCAUUAAGAUAGUCUGACACUGUAUAUUGUUAUGAGCAGCAUGCUUGCUUGCAUCACCUUCACCAAUGCUUGAGUGGCCCCUUGCUCUCUGGCCAUUGCUUUUAGCGGGGAUACUUGCUGCCAUCUUGCUCGAAAGCAACCUUAGGAGCAGUUUGGAAACCCUGCAUAGCAUUUGUCGGGGGCUUGUUGGCCUAAUUCAAGUCUGUAGUUAAUUCUGAUAUUGACAAGGCCAGUCGUAUGGAUCAGUUGAAGCCCCAGUUUGGACCGCCAAUCUACAUUUUUCUCUUUUGCCAAAGGCAAAAGACCUGUUGUCUGCAGAGCUGUAUGCUAUGGGAUGCAGUUGAUGUUGAGUUUUCUCUAAAUCUUAUGCUAUGCUAUCUAGCUAAGUUCGAAAACCUUUGAAGCCAAAACUAAGAAUCAUGCAAGCUUCCAUGUUUUGUGCGACAAUAUCUGCUGCUGUUCACCUGCUUGGAUCGUGAAAGUAUGUGCCUCAUGAGCAGCAGAAGCAAGCUCCCAUGUUUUGUGCGACAAUAUCUGCUGCUGUUCACCUGCUUGGAUCGUGAAAGUAUGUGCCUCGUGAGCAGCAGAAGCAAGCUCCCAUGUUUUGUUUUGAUUCUCUGCGGUGCGUACUCAGUAGUACAGUAAGGUUGACUGUAGCACAUCGGUCGAUCGAUGCGAGAGACUGUGGAGGAUAGAUUCAGAGCCACCUCAGAAAAUUAUUGAACUUGUGAAGUAGAAAGUUGGGUUUUCAUUUAUCGGAUUUAGUGCUAUUUUCGAAGUAAAUUUAUUAUCAUA